GAGCGGCGGCCAACGGCCAGUGCGCAGCGGCCGCUGGAACGCAGCCCUGACUUCCGCAGGCACGGAUUCCUCAGGUGCGACAGCACGUCAGAAGAGGGCAGGAUGCGGAUCUGCGGACAAGGCUUUGGGGAGAGGGUCUGGAUCAGCGCCUACUUCCAACCAGCCUCUUUUGCCCCCACACAAGCGAGUUUUCCUCUCUCAGACCCGGGAAUCCAAAGGUCGGGGGAAAGAAUCUGAGGCGACUGGCAGGAGUCCGUUGGUUUUUCCCGUGGGUGAGUCCAGCCUCAAGGACUGGGCCAGGAGAGACUGCCGUGGGAAAGGGCAUUCCUUCCAGAGUCCUCAAGGAGGAUGGGCAGACGAGUUGGUCAUUCAAAACCAAAGCUUAGCCUGCAGACCACUUUGGACUCUGCAAGGGGACCCCCAAGACCUCAGCCAGCCUCCGGCUUCCCGACACGCAGAUCACGCAACAGAGACGCGGAGACGAGACGCGCACAGAGAUAAGCACCGCGGAGCUGCCUCGGAAGAUGCGACGGCAGCAGCCGGCCGCUCCCAGAGACACACACAGACAGCACGUCCUCUGCCGACCUCGACACCUCGCGCUUUAUUUCUGGUGCCAAUGCAGGAGCGGAGGACAGACACACUGGACGAAACGCGGAGGUCUCCAUCCAGAAGUGGGGGCUGUGCGCGCACCUCUGCCCGGAAGCGGGGCUGGGCGCCAGAGCAGGCGGUCUGCUGGCCAGAGGCGCCAGUAACACCCAGGACAGAAGGCACCGGCCGGGCAGCACCGAGAACAGAGAUGGGGCUCAGCCCUGGGGGAGACGGCGCCCUGGAGCCGGAGCCCAGCCAAGGUGGGGCUGAGAGGCCAGCGCCCAGGGAAGGCCCACCUGGCGAGGUGUCUCCUCGUCCUUCCAGGCUGGGACGCCCCGCUCCGGGGCCGCCUCCUUCUGCGUGGCAGAGACCUUAAGGCAGUGAUGUCAGCACCAUCCUUGGACAGACAGCCUCUUCCCGCGGGAGAAUUGCAUAUUUUCUGGCAGGGUUGGGGUCUUCACAGCUCUAGCAGCAUCAACAGACAUCCCCUCCAGCAGAUAAGAUCCGUCAUCCCUGGGAGCCGCCAGGUGAAUGCAGAAGCUUCUGAAAGGAGCAAUCUGACCACCUUUUGGACCUAAGUGAACCUCUUCUAGUAGGAAGGUUCAGAUGUAGCCGCUCCUUGGUUUGGUGGGACAGAGAUCCAGGUUAGUGGUUGCUGUGCCUGUAGGUUCUGAUAAGUGUGUGUGCUACUCGGGGCUCCAAAGAGCAUCACAGAUGCCUGGUCUGCAGAGCCCAGAACCACAGCCUUGCCAGGCAACCCAGUGCACUGGCAGUUAACCGCGGGCUUCUCGACGGCUGGCUCCUGUGGUUUGGACGCCAUUUCUCAGGCGACCCUGAGGUCCCACGAGAUAAGAUGUGUGUCCAGUGGAGAUGAAUGUUUCCUAGUAACAGUGAAUGUAAGUCCUCACACCUUCUUUUUUUAUACCCAGUGACUGGUACACAGUAAAUGCCCAAUAAAUGCUUGUCCAAUGAAGGAAUUGGGACUGCCGAGCCUUCAGGGCAACUUCUGCAAAAGGUGGACCCCUUUGGAAGGCAGAUCUUUGCCACCGAAUCAGACUCAUCCUAUUCCGACUGGGAGCGUCUCACACGGGUGUCCACUCCAAGUGAAUCUUCGCUUGUUCAGAGCCGACAGUAAAGGCCAGCCAGGGAUUCUGGAUUCAGCCGGGCAGAGCAGUUGCCAUCAGAAGAGUGCAGUGAGGGCUCCGCAGGCCACAGAGGGAGAUUUUCCAGGCUCUGGUUUCCUUCCAGUCCACGGGGAAGCUCAGCUGAGGUCUUCUGUCAGGAUGGGCCCACGAUCUCCUCCAGAGACUGGCCGCCAUGCUCCAGGCAAGCCGUGUGGGACUCGAGGUCCCUCCUGUCCCACUGCUGAGCUGGCUCUUCAGGUCCCAUGAGAGCCCCGGAGUGCCAGGCGCGACUGCGUGGCAGGCAUCUUGCGGGUGCGCGCUGCCCAGCACUGGGCUCUCCACAUUGCGGGUGCGGGCUGCCCGGCACUGGGCUCUCCACAGGGCGACCUGGAAAAGCCAGACCAGCCCCAGGAAAAGCAGCUUGAGCAUUUUGUGGACUUGUGAGGGUACAGGAAAACAAGCUGAGAAAGAAGAGGGGAAUAAAUAGGCAAAUGGGAGGGAAAAAUGGAAACAAAAAAACAAAACAGAAAGUCGGGUUUAUUGAUUUGUGUGUUGACUUAGACGCUGUGAGCAGAGCUGGUGGCGCGUCUCUGAAGGCUGCAGUGGCGUCCUCGUGGUCUGGCCGCGUCUCAGAUGGGUGGCCAUCUCGCUGGUGUCCCCCGUGUGUCCAGAAGGGGGCAGGUAGCGCUCCUUGCCACUGAACUUCCUCCCUCCAGCUUCAUGCUUUCCUUUUUUAAAAUACCUUUUACAGAUUGAUUUGAACUUUGUAAACCACAUGCUUUUUUUUUUUUUUUUUCCCCUGGGCUGCAGCCUGAUCUUGGGGGCAGGGAGAGCUGUUGGCAGUGGAUGGAACUGGGCAGGGUCCAAGGGAGGGUCCGGGAGCCGCCUCCUCCCAGAAGACUUCCCCUGGCGAGGCUGUGUCUCUGAGCCGUUCGUGAGAAUCAGGAACUACCGCAGGCUUGUUUGAUGUCUUCUGAACCCCUCCCCAGAAAGCCCCGGAGUCUGUAAUUGAGACAAGAAAUCAAGGAAAAAGAGCCAGGAUCUUCUCCCCAAAGUCACUGGAGGAGACUAGGAGAUGGGUCUGGGGACGCAAGUCCACCUGCCAGUCCCACAGGGAGUUUGCCAAGGUGCAGCACCAGGAACCUGCCCCUUCCUCUACGGCCCCUCCUGUCCUGGGGCUGGAGAGCCCGCGCUGGGAGGGAGCAGGGAAGAGGGGAUGGCAUGGCACUGUCCUGCUCCCCCGCUGUCCCGUGGCUGGCCGCUGGGCCCUCAGAGUGUGGCCUGGAGGCUGGGGUCCAGGAUGCUCUCUCUGUCUGGAGACUCGAUGUAAUUGGCAGCUUCCUGCAGUUUCAGCAGCAUGGCCAUCUGAAGAGGGGCAGAGAGACAGGAAAGGAGAGUGGUGGGACGCCCAGGGAGUGCAGGGCUGGCUUGGGAACAGGCUGUGGUGGCUGCUUCCGCCCUGGGUGGACCCGGUCCUGGGGGGUGAGGGGCGACUGGGGGCAGUGCACCCACGCUGUGACCUGCUGGCCACUCCCUGGAGGGUGUGGGGGCCCCAAGGCUGCCUAACAGCGUUUCUCCAAGAGGCUGUGGCCCAGGGGCUGAGCGCUGAACUCAGUGCCUUCAGGACCUGCUUCUCUCCAGGCCAGCCCCCCGCCCCGCCCCCGCCCC
ensembl:lincRNA